GACGAACGCUGGCGGCGUGCCUAAUACAUGCAAGUCGAGCGGACCUCUUCGGAGGUCAGCGGCGGACGGGUGAGUAACACGUGGGCAACCUGCCUGUAAGACUGGGAUAACACCGGGAAACCGGUCCUAAUACCGGAUAAUCCUUUUCCUCACAUGAGGGGAAGCUGAAAGACGGUUUCGGCUGUCACUUCCAGAUGGGCCCGGGGCGCAUUAGCUAGUUGGUGGGGUAACGGCCCACCAAGGCGACGAUGCGUAGCCGACCUGAGAGGGUGAUCGGCCACACUGGGACUGAGACACGGCCCAGACUCCUACGGGAGGCAGCAGUAGGGAAUCUUCCGCAAUGGACGAAAGUCUGACGGAGCAACGCCGCGUGAGCGAAGAAGGCCUUCGGGUCGUAAAGCUCUGUUGUCAGGGAAGAACACGUACCGGAGUAACUGCCGGUACCUUGACGGUACCUGACCAGAAAGCCACGGCUAACUACGUGCCAGCCGCCGCCGUAAAAC
rnacentral:rRNA from 1 species